GCUGGGCGUGGUGGUGUGUGCCUAUAGUCCCAGCUACGCAGGAGGCUGAGGCAGGAGAAUUGCUUGAACCCGGGAGGCUGGGGUUGUAGUGAGCUGAGAUCAUGCCACUGGACUCCAGCCUGGGCCACAGAGCAAGACUCUGUCUCAA
ensembl:misc_RNA Metazoa_SRP Metazoan signal recognition particle RNA